rnacentral:rRNA from 1 species
AAUGAACGCUAGCGGGAUGCCUUACACAUGCAAGUCGAACGGAGUGGCGGACGGGUGGGUAAUAUAUUGGAACGUGCCUAGUAGCGGGGGAUAACUACUCGAAAGAGUGGCUACUACCGCAUACUAUUCGUGCGGCCGAUUUCGGAUUAGCUAGGUGGUGGGGUAAAGGCUCACCAAGGCCACAAUCCAUAGCCGGUUUGAGAGGACGACCAGCCACACGGGGACUGAGACACGGCCCAGACUCCUACGGGAGGCAGCAGUGGGGAAUUUUGGGCAAUGGGGGAAACCCUGAUCGAGCCAUCCCGCGUGUAUGAAGAAGGUCUUCGGGUUGUAAAGUACUUUUGGCAGAGAAGCGGUAUCUGCCCAGUAAGCACCGGCUAACUACGUGCCAGCAGCCGCGGUAAUAC